rnacentral:rRNA from 1 species
AGAGUUUGAUCCUGGCUCAGGAUGAACGCUGACAGAAUGCUUAACACAUGCAAGUCUUUGGCGAAGCUGUGCUUGCACAGCCUAGCCAAGGCGGACGGGUGAGUAACGCGUAAGGGACUUGCCCUGCAGUCAGGGAUAACAGACGGAAACGACUGAUAAGACCUGGUAAAGUCAGGCGGACUCAUGUCCAGCCUGAUGAAAAGGAAUGCUGCAGGAGAGCCUUGCGUCCUAUUAGCUUGUUGGUGGGGUAACGGCCCACCAAGGCGAUGAUAGGUAGCCGGCCUGAGAGGGUGGACGGCCACAAGGGGACUGAGAUACGGCCCUUACUCCUACGGGAGGCAGCAGUGGGGAAUAUUGGACAAUGGGGGCAACCCUGAUCCAGCAAUUCUGUGUGCACGAUGAAGGUCUUCGGAUUGUAAAGUGCUUUCAGCAGGGAAGAAAAAAAUGACGGUACCUGCAGAAGAAGCGACGGCUAAAUACGUGCCAGCAGCCGCGGU